AGUGAACGCUGGCGGUAGGCCUAACACAUGCAAGUCGAACGGCAGCACAGUAAGAGCUUGCUCUUACGGGUGGCGAGUGGCGGACGGGUGAGGAAUACAUCGGAAUCUACUUUUUCGUGGGGGAUAACGUAGGGAAACUUACGCUAAUACCGCAUACGACCUACGGGUGAAAGCAGGGGAUCUUCGGACCUUGCGCGAUUGAAUGAGCCGAUGUCGGAUUAGCUAGUUGGCGGGGUAAAGGCCCACCAAGGCGACGAUCCGUAGCUGGUCUGAGAGGAUGAUCAGCCACACUGGAACUGGGACACGGUCCAGACUCCUACGAGAGGCAGCAGUGGGGAAUAUUAGACAUUGGGCGCAAGCCUGAUCCAGCCAUACCGCGUGGGUGAAGAAGGCCUUCGGGUUGUAAAGCCCUUUUGUUGGGAAAGAAAAGCAGCAGGUUAAUACCCCGCUGUUCUGACGGUACCCAAAGAAUAAGCACCGGCUAACUUCGUG
rnacentral:rRNA from 1 species